GAUGAACGCUGACAGAAUGCUUAACACAUGCAAGUCCACUUGUACUUCGGUUUGGGUGGCGGACGGGUGAGUAACGCGUAAAGAACUUGCCUCACAGAUAGGGACAACAUUUGGAAACGAAUGCUAAUACCUGAUAUUAUGAUUAUAUGGCAUCGUAUAAUUAUGAAAGCUAUAUGCGCUGUGAGAGAGCUUUGCGUCCCAUUAGCUAGUUGGAGAGGUAACGGCUCACCAAGGCGAUGAUGGGUAGCCGGCCUGGGAGGAUGAUCGGCCACGAGGGGACUGGGACACGGCCCUUACUCCUACGGGAGGCAGCAGUGGGGAAUAUUGGACAAUGGACCAAGAGUCUGAUACAGCAAUUCUGUGUGCACGAUGAAGUUUUUCGGAAUGUAAAGUGCUUUCAGUUGGGAAGAAAAAAAUGACGGUACCAACAGAAGAAGUGACGGCUAAAUACGUG
rnacentral:rRNA from 1 species